AGUGAACGCUGGCGGUAGGCCUAACACAUGCAAGUCGAACGGCAGCACAGUAAGAGCUUGCUCUUACGGGUGGCGAGUGGCGGACGGGUGAGGAAUACAUCGGAGUCUACUUUUUCGUGGGGGAUAACGUAGGGAAACUUACGCCAAUACCGCAUACGACCUACGGGUGAAAGCAGGGGAUCUUCGGACCUUGCGCGAUUGAAUGAGCCGAUGUCGGAUUAGCUAGUUGGCGGGGUAAAGGCCCACCAAGGCGACGAUCCGUAGCUGGUCUGAGAGGAUGAUCAGCCACACUGGAACUGAGACACGGUCCAGACUCCUACGGGAGGCAGCAGUGGGGAAUAUUGGACAAUGGGCGCAAGCCUGAUCCAGCCAUACCGCGUGGGUGAAGAAGGCCUUCGGGUUGUAAAGCCCUUUUGUUGGGAAAGAAAAGCAGCAGGUUAAUACCCCGCUGUUCUGACGGUACCCAAAGAAUAAGCACCGGCUAACUUCGUG
rnacentral:rRNA from 1 species